CGACCAGACUCCUACGGGAGGCAGCAGUGGGGGAUAUUGCACAAUGGGGGGAACCCUGAUGCAGCGACGCCGCGUGGGUGAAGGAGUAUUUCGGUAUGUAAAGCCCUAUCAGCAGGGAAGAACAAUGACGGUACCUGACUAAGAAGCACCGGCUAAAUACGUGCCAGCAGCCGCGGUAAUACGUAUGGUGCAAGCGUUAUCCGGAUUUACUGGGUGUAAAGGGAGCGCAGGCGGCGCGUUAAGCCUGGUGUGAAAGCCCGCGGCCCAACCGCGGGACUGCAUUGGGAACUGGCGCGCUGGAGUGCAGGAGGGGCAGGCGGAAUUCCUGGUGUAGCGGUGAAAUGCGUAGAUAUCAGGAGGAACACCGGUGGCGAAGGCGGCCUGCUGGACUGCAACUGACGUUGAGGCCCGAAAGCGUGGGGAGCAAACAGGAUUAGAUACCCUCGUAA
rnacentral:rRNA from 1 species